rnacentral:rRNA from 1 species
AUUGAACGCUGGCGGUAGGCCUAACACAUGCAAGUCGAGCGGAUGAAGGGAGCUUGCUCCUGGAUUCAGCGGCGGACGGGUGAGUAAUGCCUAGGAAUCUGCCUGGUAGUGGGGGAUAACGUCCGGAAACGGGCGCUAAUACCGCAUACGUCCUGAGGGAGAAAGUGGGGGAUCUUCGGACCUCACGCUAUCAGAUGAGCCUAGGUCGGAUUAGCUAGUUGGUGGGGUAAAGGCCUACCAAGGCGACGAUCCGUAACUGGUCUGAGAGGAUGAUCAGUCACACUGGAACUGAGACACGGUCCAGACUCCUACGGGAGGCAGCAGUGGGGAAUAUUGGACAAUGGGCGAAAGCCUGAUUCAGCCAUGCCGCGUGUGUGAAGAAGGUCUUCGGAUUGUAAAGCACUUUAAGUUGGGAGGAAGGGCAGUAAGUUAAUACCUUGCUGUUUUGACGUUACCAACAGAAUAAGCACCGGCUAACUUCGUG